rnacentral:rRNA from 1 species
UACAGAGGUCUCAAGCGUUGUUCGGAUUCAUUGGGCGUAAAGGGUGCGUAGGUGGCGCUGUAAGUCAGGUGUGAAAUUUCGGAGCUCAACUCCGAAACUGCAUUUGAUACUGCGGUGCUUGAGGACUGGAGAGGAGACUGGAAUUCACGGUGUAGCAGUGAAAUGCGUAGAGAUUGGGAAGAACACCCGUGGCGAAAGCGCUCUGCUGGACUGCAACUGACAUUGAGGGACGAAAGCUAGGGGAGCGAAUGGG